GUCUGUGGCCAUACCACCCUGAACGUGCCUGAUCUCGUCUGAUCUCGGAAGCUCAGCAGUGUCGGUACUUGGAUGUGAGACU
ensembl:rRNA n-R5s68 nuclear encoded rRNA 5S 68